rnacentral:rRNA from 1 species
UACAGAGGGUGCGAGCGUUGUUCGGAAUUAUUGGGCGUAAAGCGCGUGUAGGCGGCUUGGCAAGUCGGAUGUGAAAGCCCUCGGCUCAACCCCGGAACUGCCUCCGAAACUUCCAGUCUGGAGUCCGGGAGAGGCGAGUGGAAUUCCGAGUGUAGAGGUGAAAUUCGUAGAUAUUCGGAGGAACACCAGUGGCGAAGGCGGCUCGCUGGUCCGGUACUGACGCUGAGGUGCGAAAGCGUGGGGAGCAAACAGG